UCUAAUUUCCUUUAUUUCAAGCGUUUUCUUAUGGGUUUGUAUUCCACAAGCGUUAGCAACUUAGGUGAAACGAACAAAUAGGAGGUUGUGCCCGUUUCUCUGUGUAUGUAUGUGUGUUCGUGUGGUUUUGGAGAGGAGUAGCUUUAUUUGUUUAGAGGACUUAGAGGUCUUUUGGUUUGAAGACAAGUUAUGCUGGGAUUAGUUCUUGUUGUUGUUUACUGCUUCCAACAUCUGACAGGUCUAAGUUAUCGCAAUGUUAAUUUUAAUCUCGAGAUAACUUAUUCGAGUAUUAAUAGACAAGCAAGUGAUAAGGCGGUACUAAAUUUUUAAUUCCAGGAUUAUUUUUGCUAGUCCAUCGUACCAAACGACCUCUUAGAGUCUUCUGUAUAGAUCAUGUGCUCUGGUUUUGUUCAAAUUUGGUUCUGGUGGACAAAUGGACUUUGAGUUUUGAAGAGGAAAGUUAUAAAAGAAUUCGUCUAGACCUUAAGGCUAAUGCGUAAUAGAUAUUUUUAAUUGGACUAAGCUUAGGUGUGACACCAUGAUGAUUGAGGUAGACUAUCAAUCACAUGUAUUAGAUCCAAUAAUUGAUAGGAGUCUUUUAAGUUUGUUUGAAGAUUGUAUGACAGUGUGGCGAUAGGUGUAAGAUUUAGAGAAUCUCUAUUUUGUCCUAAAUGACCAAUAAUUGAGUGGUAGAAAUGAAAUGGAUCAAAACGUGUUAUGAACUCAACAAACUCAACACCUACAGGGGAAAGAUGCAUAAUUAUAAUGGAAAUGCAAAGUAUAUAGUCAUAAACUAAGGAAAUAGUAACAGAAAGAAAGGAGAUAAGGAGACAAAGCUAUAGAGAGAAAUGGACGAGGGAGAGAGAGACCAGGAGAGGGGAAUUCCUCACAACAAUUCGCAUAACCUUCUUGCUAACUGCUAGUCCCUUUUAACCGAUUCCUGACAGCACCUCUUGGGCCUGGAUCCCAAAUUCACUUUUUUAAAGGUCUUCUUGUCCUCUGGCUUCUUCUCGCCCCAAUAGCUCUUUUCAGCCCAAUAUUGGGUUGGGGCUAAUUCAUAACAAUAUUCCCGUCCUCAAUAAAAAAGAAACCAGCAGUCCCAUAUGUACUAGCAACACUAGUGCGGGUAAUGAUGUUUACUGAAGCGACAUCAAUGACAAGCACAAACCUUGGAAUACAUGUUGCUUUGACGAGCUCAUCUCUAUCACAAGUAGAAAGGAAAACAAGUACUCCCCCCAUAACAAAGGCAAGUUUUGCCACUAGAAGCUCUAGCAAAACAAAUGCAGCGAAUGGUAAUCCUUCAGAGACUUCAAGGCUAGAUGUAGCUUUAAAAGUGCGCUUCAGGAGUCUCAGCACAAAUGAAAAUUCACGAUUUUGAAAAAUACAAGUCGAGCACAUAACAACUUAACAAGCUCAUCUCAUAGACCUAAGCAUCCGUUUGAACAUCUCAGCCUUGGAGACUGUUUUUAUUUAUUUAUGAACAUCUACCGCUGGCUUUAUACAGUUCUUUCUUUCUUAAAAAGCCUCAUGAAAUUCUUGAAUAAUUGCUCUAGUUAAGAAUCCCCACAAAGUGGAACUCUCAGCCUUGUUGAAGAUUUGGUUUCUACGUGUGCCUACUGAUUGGGUGCGUGUCCUAUUAAAUUCUACACGUUUCACAGAUUAUGUCAUUUCUUGAGGAGACUGCCAAAUUGCAAGUGGGAGAAUGAAUCAAGUAACGUCCUGACUAGUAUUGUCGGCAUUUGGGGGGAGUUGCAGGCAAUCUUUCCUCAGCUUACAUAGUAUCUCAUCAUCUUGUAUGUGGAAGACACUAGACAUCUCAGCGGAGAGAAGACGACCUGGAAUUCGUAGGGUAAAUAUUUUGUUCUAUUCACUUCAUAAUUUGAGUUAGAUAAGUCCUUUUUUCGCUGUUUGAAAUUCAAGUCAUGUAAGUCUCUGAAUAUGCAGACAGUUUGUCAAGAAAAUAUUCAAAUGCUUCAUGACUAUUGCUCCUUGUAAGUAACCUGAUUAUGUAGUAUGCUUUGGAGUCUCCAACAUCAGCCUGUCGUCAUUAACUCUGAUGCUUAUUUCAAUCAUGUUUUACUGAAAAGCAAAUUAUUGAUUUGCAUAAUGUUGCUUGGACAUGGUUUACAGGUCUGAAUAUAAUGAAUUUUCUCAA